rnacentral:rRNA from 1 species
AUUGAACGCUGGCGGAAUGCUUUACACAUGCAAGUCGAGCGGCAGCACGGGGGCAACCCUGGUGGCGAGCGGCGAACGGGUGAGUAAUACAUCGGAACAUGCCCAGUCGUGGGGGAUAACACUUCGAAAGAAGUGCUAAUACCGCAUACGUCCUGAGGGAGAAAGCGGGGGAUCGCAAGACCUCGCGCGAUUGGAGUGGCCGAUGUCAGAUUAGCUAGUUGGUGGGGUAAAGGCCUACCAAGGCAACGAUCUGUAGCUGGUCUGAGAGGAUGAUCAGCCACACUGGGACUGAGACACGGCCCAGACUCCUACGGGAGGCAGCAGUGGGGAAUUUUGGACAAUGGGGGCAACCCUGAUCCAGCCAUUCCGCGUGAGUGAAGAAGGCCUUCGGGUUGUAAAGCUCUUUCGGCAGGAACGAAACGGCGAGCUCUAACAUAGCUUGCUAAUGACGGUACCUGAAGAAGAAGCACCGGCUAACUACGU